UUAAGCGACUAAGCGUACACGGUGGAUGCCCUGGCAGUCAGAGGCGAUGAAGGACGUGCUAAUCUGCGAUAAGCGUCGGUAAGGUGAUAUGAACCGUUAUAACCGGCGAUUUCCGAAUGGGGAAACCCAGUGUGAUUCGUCACACUAUCAUUAACUGAAUCCAUAGGUUAAUGAGGCGAACCGGGGGAACUGAAACAUCUAAGUACCCCGAGGAAAAGAAAUCAACCGAGAUUCCCCCAGUAGCGGCGAGCGAACGGGGAGSAGCCCAGAGCCUGAAUCAGUGUGUGUGUUAGUGGAAGCGUCUGGAAAGGCGCGCGAUACAGGGUGACAGCCCCGUACACAAAAAUGCACAUGCUGUGAGCUCGAUGAGUAGGGCGGGACACGUGGUAUCCUGUCUGAAUAUGGGGGGACCAUCCUCCAAGGCUAAAUACUCCUGACUGACCGAUAGUGAACCAGUACCGUGAGGGAAAGGCGAAAAGAACCCCGGCGAGGGGAGUGAAAAAGAACCUGAAACCGUGUACGUACAAGCAGUGGGAGCCUCUUUAUGGGGUGACUGCGUACCUUUUGUAUAAUGGGUCAGCGACUUAUAUUCUGUAGCAAGGUUAACCGAAUAGGGGAGCCGAAGGGAAACCGAGUCUUAACUGGGCGUUAAGUUGCAGGGUAUAGACCCGAAACCCGGUGAUCUAGCCAUGGGCAGGUUGAAGGUUGGGUAACACUAACUGGAGGACCGAACCGACUAAUGUUGAAAAAUUAGCGGAUGACUUGUGGCUGGGGGUGAAAGGCCAAUCAAACCGGGAGAUAGCUGGUUCUCCCCGAAAGCUAUUUAGGUAGCGCCUCGUGAAUUCAUCUCCGGGGGUAGAGCACUGUUUCGGCAAGGGGGUCAUCCCGACUUACCAACCCGAUGCAAACUGCGAAUACCGGAGAAUGUUAUCACGGGAGACACACGGCGGGUGCUAACGUCCGUCGUGAAGAGGGAAACAACCCAGACCGCCAGCUAAGGUCCCAAAGUCAUGGUUAAGUGGGAAACGAUGUGGGAAGGCCCAGACAGCCAGGAUGUUGGCUUAGAAGCAGCCAUCAUUUAAAGAAAGCGUAAUAGCUCACUGGUCGAGUCGGCCUGCGCGGAAGAUGUAACGGGGCUAAACCAUGCACCGAAGCUGCGGCAGCGACGCUUAUGCGUUGUUGGGUAGGGGAGCGUUCUGUAAGCCUGCGAAGGUGUACUGUGAGGUAUGCUGGAGGUAUCAGAAGUGCGAAUGCUGACAUAAGUAACGAUAAAGCGGGUGAAAAGCCCGCUCGCCGGAAGACCAAGGGUUCCUGUCCAACGUUAAUCGGGGCAGGGUGAGUCGACCCCUAAGGCGAGGCCGAAAGGCGUAGUCGAUGGGAAACAGGUUAAUAUUCCUGUACUUGGUGUUACUGCGAAGGGGGGACGGAGAAGGCUAUGUUGGCCGGGCGACGGUUGUCCCGGUUUAAGCGUGUAGGCUGRUUUUCCAGGYAAAUCCGGAAAAUCAAGGCUGAGGCGUGAUGACGAGGCACUACGGUGCUGAAGCAACAAAUGCCCUGCUUCCAGGAAAAGCCUCUAAGYAUCAGGUAACAUCAAAUCGUACCCCAAACCGACACAGGUGGUCAGGUAGAGAAUACCAAGGCGCUUGAGAGAACUCGGGUGAAGGAACUAGGCAAAAUGGUGCCGUAACUUCGGGAGAAGGCACGCUGAUAYGUAGGUGAAGYSMCUUGCKSRUGGAGCUGAAAUCAGUCGAAGAUACCAGCUGGCUGCAACUGUUUAUUAAAAACACAGCACUGUGCAAACACGAAAGUGGACGUAUACGGUGUGACGCCUGCCCGGUGCCGGAAGGUUAAUUGAUGGGGUUAGCGGUAACGCGAAGCUCUUGAUCGAAGCCCCGGUAAACGGCGGCCGUAACUAUAACGGUCCUAAGGUAGCGAAAUUCCUUGUCGGGUAAGUUCCGACCUGCACGAAUGGCGUAAUGAUGGCCAGGCUGUCUCCACCCGAGACUCAGUGAAAUUGAACUCGCUGUGAAGAUGCAGUGUACCCGCGGCAAGACGGAAAGACCCCGUGAACCUUUACUAUAGCUUGACACUGAACAUUGAGCCUUGAUGUGUAGGAUAGGUGGGAGGCUUUGAAGUGUGGACGCCAGUCUGCAUGGAGCCGACCUUGAAAUACCACCCUUUAAUGUUUGAUGUUCUAACGUUGGCCCCUAAUCGGGGUUGCGGACAGUGUCUGGUGGGUAGUUUGACUGGGGCGGUCUCCUCCUAAAGAGUAACGGAGGAGCACGAAGGUUGGCUAAUCCUGGUCGGACAUCAGGAGGUUAGUGCAAUGGCAUAAGCCAGCUUGACUGCGAGCGUGACGGCGCGAGCAGGUGCGAAAGCAGGUCAUAGUGAUCCGGUGGUUCUGAAUGGAAGGGCCAUCGCUCAACGGAUAAAAGGUACUCCGGGGAUAACAGGCUGAUACCGCCCAAGAGUUCAUAUCGACGGCGGUGUUUGGCACCUCGAUGUCGGCUCAUCACAUCCUGGGGCUGAAGUAGGUCCCAAGGGUAUGGCUGUUCGCCAUUUAAAGUGGUACGCGAGCUGGGUUUAGAACGUCGUGAGACAGUUCGGUCCCUAUCUGCCGUGGGCGCUGGAGAACUGAGGGGGGCUGCUCCUAGUACGAGAGGACCGGAGUGGACGCAUCACUGGUGUUCGGGUUGUCAUGCCAAUGGCACUGCCCGGUAGCUAAAUGCGGAAGAGAUAAGUGCUGAAAGCAUCUAAGCACGAAACUUGCCCCGAGAUGAGUUCUCCCUGACUCCUUGAGAGUCCUGAAGGAACGUUGAAGACGACGACGUUGAUAGGCCGGGUGUGUAAGCGCAGCGAUGCGUUGAGCUAACCGGUACUAAUGAACCGUGAGGCUUAACCUU
rnacentral:rRNA from 1 species